rnacentral:rRNA from 1 species
CCUACGGGAGGCAGCAGUGAGGAAUAUUGGUCAAUGGGCGCGAGCCUGAACCAGCCAAGUAGCGUGAAGGAUGAAGGUUCUAUGGGUCGUAAACCUCUUUUAUAAGGGAAUAAAGUGAGGGACGUGUGCCGUUUUGUAUGUACUUUAUGAAUAAGGAUCGGCUAACUCCGUGCCAGCAGCCGCGGUAAUACGGAGGAUCCGAGCGUUAUCCGGAUUUAUUGGGUUUAAAGGGUGCGUAGGUGGGUUUUUAAGUCAGUGGUGAAAGUCUGCGGCUCAACCGUAAAAUUGCAGUUGAAACUGGGAGGCUUGAGUACAGUUGAGGCAGGCGGAAUUCGUGGUGUAGCGGUGAAAUGCUUAGAUAUCACGAAGAACCCCGAUUGCGAAGGCAGCUUACUAAGC